rnacentral:rRNA from 1 species
GAUGAACGCUAGCUACAGGCUUAACACAUGCAAGUCGUGGGGCAGCAGGGGUAGCAAUACCCGCUGGCGACCGGCAAACGGGUGCGGAACACGUACGCAACCUUCCUUUAACUGGAGAAUAGCCCCUCGAAAGAGGGAUUAAUACUCCGUAACAUAUUGAUAAGGCAUCUUAUUAAUAUUAUAGCCUUCGGGCGGUUAAAGAUGGGCGUGCGCCUGAUUAGAUAGUUGGCGGGGUAAUGGCCCACCAAGUCUGCGAUCAGUAACUGGUGUGAGAGCACGACCAGUCACACGGGCACUGAGACACGGGCCCCGACUCCUACGGGAGGCCAGGCAGUAAGGAAUAUUGGUCAAUGGACGCAAGUCUGAACCAGCCAUGCCGCGU